GAGGAAUAUUGCGCAAUGGACGAAAGUCUGACGCAGCCAUGCCGCGUGAAGGAUUGAAGGCCCUAUGGGUUGUAAACUUCUUUUGUAUAGGAAAAAACCCCUUUACGUGUAGAGGGCUGAUGGUACUAUAAGAAUAAGCACCGGCUAACUCCGUGCCAGCAGCCGCGGUAAUACGGAGGGUGCAAGCGUUAUCCGGAUUUAUUGGGUUUAAAGGGUCCGCAGGCGGACUAUUAAGUCAGUGGUGAAAGCCCACAGCUCAACUGUGGAAUUGCCAUUGAUACUGGUAGUCUUGAGUGCGUAUGAAGUUGGCGGAAUGUGUGGUGUAGCGGUGAAAUGCUUAGAUAUCACACAGAACACCGAUUGCGAAGGCAGCUGACUAAUACGUUACUGACGCUCAGGGACGAAAGUGUGGGGAUCAAAC
rnacentral:rRNA from 1 species